AUUUACUAUGGUGAAAAGUUCACGAAAAGUAAGAUAUUUAUGGUACCAAAAGGUUAAACCAGAUAAGAAAAUUUAAAAUUUACUAAAAUAAGAUUAAACUAUUUUUAAAAAUAUGACCAAAAAAGUGCCAGCAGUCGCGGUCAGACUUUUAUAGAUGUGAAUGUAUGUAAGUAAGAUAACAAUGCUAUAAUAAAUUUAUUGGUGAAAUAUUAAAUAACACUCACAUAGCAGAAACUUUAAAAAAUAUUGAAACAUAAACAAGGAUUAGAUACCCUUUUAUACAAUACUCAAUUACUUCUACUGAGCACUAAAACCUUUUUGGUUAAAACUCAAAUAGUAUGGCGGUAAUUUCAAACUUUAGGGGAACUUACCCAAUAAAUGAUAACCACCAAGGAAAUCUACUUUAUGUAACAUUUUGUAUGCCGUCGUCUACAGAUAAUAUAUAUCAUAUUAUCAAAAGAGAUUAAUAUCAAACAGUACAGAUCAAGGUGCAGACCAUCAUAAAGCUACAGGCGAGUUACUUUGUAAGCCGCAAAUGGUCACUUGUAAGAUAACCAGAAGAAGGACUUAAAUGUAAUAUUAAAUAAAUUUAAUCAGUGAAUUAAUCUGAAAUUAUGUACAAAUCGCCCGUCACUCUUGGGUAUACCUAAGAUAAGUCGUAACAUAGUAGGAGUAGCAGAAGCUGCUCCUA
rnacentral:ncRNA from 1 species